rnacentral:rRNA from 1 species
AUUGAACGCUGGCGGCAGGGCUAACACAUGCAAGUCGAGCGGAGCGGCGGACGGGUGAGUAAUGCAUAGGAAUCUGCCCGGGAGAGGGGGAUAACGUCCGGAAACGGGCUCUAAUACCGCAUACUAUCAGAUGAGCCUAGGUCGGAUUAGCUAGUUGGUGGGGUAAAGGCCUACCAAGGCGACGAUCCGUAACUGGUCUUAGAGGAUGAUCAGUCACACUGGAACUGAGACCCGGUCCAGACUCCUACGGGAGGCAGCAGUGGGGAAUAUUGUACAAUGGGCGAAAGCCUGAUCCAGCCAUGCCGCGUGUGUGAAGAAGGUCUUCGGAUUGUAAAGCACUGUAAGUUGGGAGGCGUUACUAACAGAAUAAGCACCGGCUAGCUUCGUGCCAGCAGCCGGGGUAAUUC